ensembl:lncRNA
AGCAGCUAUCCUUUUGCAUUCAGAAGAAAACAGAAUACCUGCAUGCAAAGCCAAUCCCCCCGUAAUAGGACGGCCAUGGUUUCACCUGCACCUGCUGCAAGCAACUCCAGGCUUAGCACAGCUCUGUGCAGCAGGCAGGAGACUCCUGAGAAGGGGCCCCUGGUGGGGGUGGUAGCAAAAGUUCUACCCACAUCAUACCGUUGCAGCACACAAGAGCAGGAUUUAUUACACUACAGAAUCCAGGAACGGCACUGCAUAUUCUCAAGCGCCAUCUACCGGUAUUUUACCUGAGAACUGCUCGUAUGCAUACAAUCACCCUUUAUUUUGAAUUAAGCCCUACAUAAGGAAAAGACAAGGGUGUGAGUGACAUGCCAAAAGAUCCACAGUUACGUGGGAGGGAAGAGAUGCACUGCUUUAGCACUGCAUGUUGGGAAAGGCAUUCAACCUGCACCUGGUCACCUCAACACAUCAGACAUACGCAAAGAUUUAGACUGUAUGUCCGUCAGUGUCGUUCUCGCUCACCUUUGAAGCUUCUGCACUCACUGGAUAACACCUAUGGCAUUCACCAAUUAGGAAAUAGCAGAUGAACUACUUUUGAAAAUCACAUCUCCAAAGCGAACCAGAGUGUUUAAUCUACUCCUCAAAUCCAACGAUCUGCCUACAGGAAGGAGGAAGACAAGGCCCUUUUUCAGGACUCUGACCUUCAGAGAGAAAUGGAAAGAUGGGGGUCAGCUACCUAUGUACCUGCAUAAGGGAGAUAAAUCAAAUUCUCUGCUGCAGAGGGAACACACGCAGGGUGUCCUCCAUAUGCGAGCAAGGAGAGGUUGAGAGAAAAGCACUAUGGUGCAUACACCUUUCACCCGGCAGCCUAACAAAUGACACAUUCUGGAAAUUUAAAGCCUCUGUGAUUUUAUCUACAGGAAACUUUUUUUUUCCUCCCUCCCCUAUUCAUUUCUGAAUGGAAGUGAAAGAAAAAAGAACCAGGGUAUUUGCCCAUCUGCAGUAAGGACCAAACUUACGGCUGAUUUUAUAAGGUGCAAGGCUCUACUGAAGGAAACAUUCAACUGGUUAAGCCAUAUAUGCAGAGUGCCUGGAAACCACUGUUACUUCUUAGGGAAAUAAUUAUUAAUACAAAAAUAAUUAUUAAUACAGAUAACAAUAUAAAAUAUACAAAUGUGUUGAACAAGAACAGUGCACACUGCUGACAGUGGAAGGUGGCCAUGUGGAACAUGCUGCAUUUGCCUGCACUGAGCCAACAGGACAGUAAGAGCCAGAAACACCAUUCUUGCUUCUAACACCAUCCUGCUAUUUUAAGCUAGCCAGACAAAAAUAAUUCAUGUGAGAAUUAAUUUUAAAAAUGGCUUUCUAAAGAAAGAGAUUAUUUUUUCCCUCUGCUUAAUUGAUUUUACUCUCACUUUCCCUUCUGUUUCCUCUCCUUGAAAAAGAAGUGCCACAGGCAUUAGAGGAGGUAUUUUAAUACCAAAAUUAUCCUAGAAAAUAAGUUUAAUCACACACCCCAACGUUUUCAGAAAGGAGGAUGUAAAAUAUGGCAUAUUUUGACACUUACAAAGAAGAAAUGCCUUGAGCUGGAGUGGCUGGAAACUUUUCUUGAGAAUCUCCUGUUUUGUCCUUUUAUUUCACAUAAUUUUUGAGUUUCAUAUGACUUUUAGAUGGCCUCUUCUUCCUAUGUUGCGACAGUUUAUAUAUCAGGUUAAGUACCCCACAAACCAGUUCAGCCACAGAACAGCGCUGCAGGUUCAGCCUCAGUCACAGGAUGAUGCUGAGGAGUAGGAGGAUUCCUUGAUAUCCAAGCACUGCUGCUUUGCUGUGUUCUCCCACAGUUCAUUCGUGUCACAGACAGUGAACAGGAAGGUUCCUUCAUCCUAUGACAGUGGGAUAAAACCCACUCUGCAGACACAGGGCAAAAACACGAGCCUGACUUCUAAGCCUCAUUUCAAUGCAUUGUUUAAUUCCACGCUUCUGAGACCUUGAGCAUUUGUGUUUGAGGCAGAGUCAAGAGAGAGGCAGCUCAGCUAAAAAGCACAGGAGGACUGAGUUGAUGAAAAAAAUAAAAAUAAAAGCAAACCAUCUGAUAAAAGCAUAACUCAGAAACUGGAUAGAAGCCAAGAAAGUGUUGCAGAGUGCUGACUGCAAAGUGAUAGACAGAGGUUUCCAUUUCACACGUUGUCAUUAUAAUCUUGCGGUCCCAGUUCUACAAUGUCAUGACAAAUUCCUCCUACAAAGAGGAAUUAGAAAGGAGUAGAAGAGAAGAAAUAACUACACAGCCCAGAAAAGGAAACAUAGGAAGGGGAGGGGGCAUUUGUUUACAUGUUCAGCUAUUUGCAGCAUAGAGAUUUUCCAUUCACAACCGGAACUCUCAUGCUCCUGAAGGCGAAGACAAAAGGCCAAGAUAAAACCAGAAAGUGUUUUGGAGUAGCUGGAUGAUGUGUUCCAUUUCCAGACAUAAUUGACACAGACUAAAUUUCAAGAGUACAAGUGCCAGGAAACUCACAGAGCUGUCAGACAAUCAGAAGAUCCUCUUGUGACUCACCCUAAUCCUCUGAGAUAGUUGCCUGUCUCUUGUGAAGAGCCAGAGCCCUUCAAUGAAGAGGACGAUGACAUAACAAAUACCUCUGUUGCUCGGCUCUUAGGAGCCUCUAUAUGCUCUAUAUGAAAAAAUUUCAAUUUCAGUCUGUCUACUGAGGCACUAUUGAGAAAAUGCUAUAGCUCAUAAUCCUCCAAAAAAAAAAUAAUCACUGGGAGUCUCACCUUGAAUGGAAGCAAAAGCAUAUUGAACGAGUAGAUGUCACAGAGUGCUGUUAGUAACUGAAAAAUAAAAUCAAUGACAAGGGAAGAGGGGAUGUGUGGAUCUCUGUUUUUUUGUUCCAUAGAGCUAUCCCUGUGCUUCCUUCUAUUCGUAAAACAAAACGUGAAAAAUACAGAGGGACAUAAGAGACAUCAUGGAGAAGCUAAAGGAGAAGACGGCAAAGCAGAUGUCGCAUCUGAGAAGAAUGGAAGAAGUGACCAAAUAGUGGGCAGAAUGAAAAGUAAAUAAAGUCACUGUUCACUUGUGCUCUGAUUUCUGCUUUUCAUCUCUAGCAGUAAGAUGCAGUGUUCGUGUGUGCUUUAUUCCCUAAAAGCACUCCAGAGUCUUCGCUGCUAUACUCUUAAAAAAUGCAUCUUUAAAAAUGAUGAUAAUUCACUAAAUACUUACACCAGACUUAAUUUCAUUUCAAGACAUCAACUGAACCGGAAUAGAAAACCUUCAUUUUCAUAGCAAAACUUUGCACCUCAUAAAGGUUUUAUCUGUUGCUAUGGCACAGGUUUUACCCAAAGGAGUUACUUGCAGAAUAGCACAAGAAGGAGGAAUUUUCCAGUUCCUUU